CGGGGCGUAGCGCAGACUGGUAGCGCACUGGCAUGGGGUGUCAGUGGUCGCGGGUUCAAAUCCCACCGCCCCGACCA
rnacentral:tRNA from 1 species